UGCAAGCAAGAAAAUGUGCAUUGUUGGAGUACAUGUAUAAUUAGAGUUUUCAACUCGCUCAGAAGUAGUAUUAUCACAUGACAAUGACUAAGCUAGGAGUGAAAGGGUUCCUGAAUUUACACCAGCCACAAACUGACAAGGCUGCCUCCAAGUGCAGUGGGAGGCAAUAAUACCAAAGGGGUGGCACAGCUUGCCUUACAAGCCUGUGGAAAGUCUUUUAAAGUGAACCCAGAAGCCGGUAGAUGCAGAUGAAGAAACAGAGCGUUUCAGUUCCUAACAUCCCUCAGCCAGGAAGCGUCUUGAAAUACAUCAAGCCCAGUGCAGUCCCAUACCCUAGAACAGGAAGAGGUACAGCCCAGAACUAAGAAAAAUGUUGCCUCCGUGGGAAUGCCUGUGCAGGUCAGUAAGAUUUUGCUUGAAGGUCAAGGUGAAGCAGCUGAAACCCCCAGCUGAACUGUAUCAGAAAUCUCCCUGAUGGAGCGGGAUUCUGAUACGUGCAGCCAGGAAAG
rnacentral:lncRNA from 1 species